rnacentral:rRNA from 1 species
ACGCUCGACACCUACGGGAGCAGCAGUGGGGAAUAUUGCACAAUGGGGGAAACCCUGAUGCAGCGACGCCGCGUGAGCGAAGAAGUAUCUCGGUAUGUAAAGCUCUAUCAGCAGGGAAGAAGAUGACGGUACCUGACUAAGAAGCACCGGCUAAAUACGUGCCAUCAGCCGCGGUAAUCUGAGCGGGCUGGCAAGGC